CAAUAGCGUAUAUUAAAGUUGUUGCAGUUAAAAAGCUCGUAGUUGGAUUUGUGGCGUACGGUGUGUUCCGGGCACUUGUUGUCUGAGUAACCUGCUGUUGCCAUCCUUGGGUGGAACCUGUGUGGCAUUAGGUUGUCGUGCAGGGGAUGCCCAUCAUUUACUGUGAAAAAAUUAGAGUGUUCAAAGCAGGCUUAUGCCGUUGAAUAUAUUAGCAUGGAAUAAUGAGAUAGGACUUUUUUGCUAUUUUGUUGGUUUGCGCAAAGAGGUAAUGAUUAAUAGGGACAGUUGGGGGUUUUCGUAUUCCAUUGUCAGAGGUGAAAUUCUUGGAUUUUUGGAAGACGAACUACUGCGAAAGCAUUUACCAAGGAUGUUUUCAUUAA
rnacentral:rRNA from 1 species